AGUGAACGCUGGCGGUAGGCCUAACACAUGCAAGUCGAACGGCAGCACAGUAAGAGCUUGCUCUUACGGGUGGCGAGUGGCGGACGGGUGAGGAAUACAUCGGAAUCUACUUUUUCGUAGGGGAUAACGUAGGGAAACUUACGCUAAUACCGCAUACGACCUACGGGUGAAAGCAGGGGAUCUUCGGACCUUGCGCGAUUGAAUGAGCCGAUGUCGGAUUAGCUAGUUGGCGGGGUAAAGGCCCACCAAGGCGACGAUCCGUAGCUGGUCUGGGAGGAUGAUCAGCCACACGAGAACUGAGACACGGUCCAGACGCCUACGGGAGGGAGCAGUGGGGAAUAUUGGGCAAUGGGCGCAAGCCUGAUCCAGCCAGACCGCGUGUGUGAAGGAGGCCUUCGGGUUGUAAAGCCCUUUUGUUGGGAAAGAAAAGCAGCAGGUUAAUACCCCGCUGUUCUGACGGUACCCAAAGAAUAAGCACCGGCUAACUUCGUG
rnacentral:rRNA from 1 species